GCAGGAAUGUGUGCACAGUGCUAGUCUGUGUCUAGUGGAACAGUCAGCUUGCGUUUUGCAUGUUGGCUGUUUUGCUCAUACAAACCCUGCGGCCAGAGAUGAACAUGAGAUCAUAGUACUGGUCUAGUGAAGUCUAACGGACAAUCUCCCCACUGGCCAGCCUCCAAACUCUCAUACAUAU